rnacentral:rRNA from 1 species
UACAGAGGGGGCAAGCGUUGUUCGGAAUUACUGGGCGUAAAGGGCGCGUAGGCGGCCGCCUAAGUCAGACGUGAAAUCCCUCGGCUCAACCGGGGAACUGCGUCUGAUACUGGGUGGCUUGAAUCCGGGAGAGGGAUGCGGAAUUCCAGGUGUAGCGGUGAAAUGCGUAGAUAUCUGGAGGAACACCGGUGGCGAAGGCGGCCUGCUGGGCAGAUAGCUGACACUGAGGCGCGACAGCGUGGGGAGCAAACAGGG